UAUAUAUAUAUAUUAUAGCCUUGUCUAGUCUUGAGUCCUCACCUUGCCGUUCAUGACAUUAGGAAUAACCUUGUUAGUAUAAAACAGUGAUUUCAUGUCUGUCAAACUGGGUUAUUCUUGUCAUUUUUCAUAGAUUCAGCUGAAGAAAUGGGAACAAACUAUUUAUUUUUCAACAGGCUUCUAGUAACAAAAGUGCCUAAAAGUACUAUUUAAAAUCAGUUCUUUGCUACAUUGUCUGUUACAUGUUGCACUAGUUAUUCCUGAAUGAUUCAUAGGUUAGUAUUGAGUGGCUUAACAUACAAAAACAAAAUGGCAAAAAAAAAUAAAAAAACAACAGCUGCCAGAUGCCAAAGAGCAAGGGACAAAUUACCAGUCUGUAGCAAAAAGAAACACAACAAAAACAUCAGUCUAAAAGUGGUCAGGUACAAGGACUGCACUGAGAAUGAGAGUAAAAAAAAAACAGCUAAUGUUCCAAGUAAAAUUUUUAAUAAUCAAAACCACCAAAAAAUAACAAGAAAGUCUGGCUCCGUGGAAGCAAAAUAUAAACGAAAAAGAGGGGUUGCUUAAGAUCUUUCCCCAGUAGCAAAUUACAAGUAAGUGUUUGCUCAUUCUUGACAUUGCCAGAUGUUAAAUGUGAUACAGCUUUGCUGCAGGAAAUAGAGGGCAGGGCAGGAAUUUGUGGUAAUGUUUCACUGUGGGCAAAAGUCUCUACAAAAAUGACCCAGAAACACUAAUGUGGAGCUGCUCAAGCCCUUCAGGCUGAUCUCUGUCACGUCAUUGUCAAAGUCAGUCGAGCUUAUGUCAUAAUAUUAAAUGCAAUAAAUACAUAUCGUCCUCUGUCUUCCUCAUAUUACAAUGAAAGAUUCAGUUUUUGUGUUUUUUGUCAGUAUGGGAUGUUAAACAAGAGCUACACUGAGUGGUGUGUAAUUUGAUUGAAAAACCCUCACAAACAUCCUUGAAUACCAACUCAGGCUUUUACACUGAUUAUAAUCAGACGGUUUUCAUGGCUCUUCACUGGAUCAGAUAAUAAGACGUCCAACCUAAUUUCUGGGUCACACGAUCUAAAAAUACUAGACAAGAUGCUUUGAGUGUGACAUUUAAUUGUAAUAGAGUCGGAAAGACUCGUUUUUCACAAUGGAUUUAAAAA
ensembl:lncRNA